rnacentral:rRNA from 1 species
CACGUAGGAGGCGAGCGUUGUCCGGAAUCAUUGGGCGUAAAGAGCGCGCAGGCGGCUUGGCAAGUCGGGUGUGAAAUCCCGGGGCUCAACCCCGUGACUGCAUCCGAUACUGUCAGGCUAGAGGUAGGUAGGGGAGAUCGGAAUUCCUGGUGUAGCGGUGAAAUGCGCAGAUAUCAGGAGGAACACCGAUGGCGAAGGCAGGUCUCUGGGCUAUAACUGACGCUCAUGCACGAAAGCGUGGGGAGCAAACAGG